rnacentral:pre_miRNA from 1 species
CAAAUACUCCCUCCGUCCCAUAUUAAGUGACGAAAUAUUACAUGUAUAUAGACACUUUUUGGAUAUAGAUACAUUUAUAUUUGGACAAAUUCGAGUCAUUUAAUAUGAGACGGAGGGAGUACCUU